rnacentral:lncRNA from 1 species
GAGCAGCCCAUGUAGCGGGACUCAGAGCCCGGCUCUCGCAACCCAAGAUGGCGGACGAGAGUGAGACAGCAGUGAAGCCGCCGGCACCUCAGUUGCCGCAGAUGAUGGAAGGGAACGGAAACGGCCACCAACACUGCAGCGAUUGCGAGAACGAGGAGGACAACAGCUACAACCGGGGGUAACGAGAUCCUCGGAGUUCAAUUUUCAUCCAGUCUCCCUCAACCUGGGUCUUUGGGGUGCGGGGAAGUCACAGGGAGCUUAAUCUAACCCCACCCCCAUGUUCUUAUUGGCUAAGACAUUAGGAUCUCGAUUGGUGAUUGGUUGCUGCCUUUGUCAUUUACCAGGGGUGGGCACUCAGUAUAUUAAAGCCAGAGACCUUCAGUACUUUUAUUAUAUAAAAGUUCUGUGUAAUGUUCCACUCGUGUGCUUCAGGCGCGUCCGUGGAAAAGAGCAUGAUGAACGAUGGUUUUCGAUGGCGCAACACGGGUCAAUCUAGUAACUACAGUGAGAGGGAACGUUACUUCUUGAGGUGUUUUUGAACAACGUGACUAUCAAUGAAGGAAUAAUAACACAUUUCGUUGCAAUUCACAUUCAAUGAGGAAAUUCAUCAGGGUAUACAAACCAUAUAUAUAAUUAUGUUGUAAAAUAUCACUGCCAGAGAAUUCCCAAAUAUAAACUCACCCUAUAAACACUGCAUAAUUAACCGUAUGGUGUUUUGAUUUUUACGGUAUCUUGCUCCAAAUAAUCCGUAAGUUUCCUGAACGAUAUAUAAUUAGGUUUUCCAGAGUCUUUGCUAUGUUAACUUUGCGAAGUAGCCUAAAGUUUCAAAACAUUGGUCAGUAUUUGAUAUCUGUGGGUUUAAUACUGAGUAUCCUGUACUUUAGAGUCUUGUCAUUAGUAACUGUAUUUUUCCCUCGGGAACAAAAAAAUGCACUAGAUAUUUGAGUGUUAAGUUCUUUUUCUCCAAGUCAGUUUUCACUUUGUAAGCCACAGCUUAAUUAAUCUUUCUUCACUUUGUUGGCACUCACCCUUCCUCUCUAUUUACGUGUACCUUUUUUUUUUUCCAACUGAAAGCCAUGAGAGAAUGUUCUGCGUAUAUAGCUUUUGCUGAAUCUGUGGUGGUCUGAUUUUUAUAGCCAGCUUGUCAUCUGCGGUAACUGCCUAUUCUUUGCUUUGCCCUUCCCUCAGGGAAUAUGAAAGUAAUGGUAGAUUGAGUCUUUGGGUAAACCUUUAUAUUUUUAUUCUGCUACAUUGUAGAUGUGGAAUAGCAAAGGAUUAUUUAAAUGCUUGAUUAUCUACUUGUAGUGAAAUUUAGAUUGAAAGAUCUAGCUUCCUUGUUCUUCCACCAGCAUGAAAUAUCACAAGAAAGCCACUUGCAGUGGAGCAGGCCUUUAAUCCCAACACUACAGGAGGCUGAGACAGGAAGAUCAUAAAAUCAAGGCUAGCUUCUGCACCUUAGUGAGUGAGACCAUCAGCAAGAUCCUGUCUUAAAAUAAAAAAGGACUGGAGAUGUCGUUAGUGGUUCCUGGGUUCAAUCCCCAGUAUCAAGAGAAAACAAACAAAAAAAAAUCACAAGAAGAAUGUAGAGGAAAAGGAAGCUUGCGGAGUUUGAUUUUUGUGACUGCAUUCUGUAGCUGUAACUCAUCACAGAUCUAACAUAACAAAAGCCUUUUUUUUUUUUUUGAUGUUCCGUAUUCCUAAGAAUGGAAGAGCUGAGAAAGAGGAAGCAGGAACCAGAAGAAGGGAAAAGGCAGCCCUCUUGAGUAGAGAUCAGAAUGUGAGAGUCAUUUUAGAAGUGAAAGUAUGGCUUUUUCUUUUUUCUUUAUGUAAUUACUUUUAUUUUUCUCAACUGAAUUCUUGCCCCGACUGAUACCUAUAGUUCUUUAAUAGAUUUUGUUCCCCAAUAAAUUUUGUUCCCUGUAAACUGGCUCACUCUGCAAACUGUUUGCUGUGGCUGGUAGUAUUGCUCAGUGAUAGAGCAUGAGCUCAGCUUGUUGGAGGCCAAAGGUUCAAUCCCCAUCAACAAAACGAAAAAGAAAAAGAAAAAUCUGUAUAAUAGAAAAUUCUUUUUCUGUUUUUUGGUACUGGGAAUUGAACCCAGAGGUACUUUACCAUUGAGCUAUGUUCCCAGCCUUUUAAAUUUUUUUAAAGUUUAUUUAUUUAUUUUAAUUAGGUAUAUAUGACAGCAGAAUGCAUUUUGAUUCAUUGUACACAAUUGCAGCACAACUUUUCAUUUCUCUGAUUGUACAGUAUUUUUUUAAAAUUUUUAGUUGUAGUUGGAAACAAUACCUUUAUUUUAUUUUUAUGUGCUUGCACUUGCUAGACGAGCACUGUACCGCUGAGCCACAACUCCAGCCCCUGUAUAUGAUGUUUUAUUUUGAGACAGGUUCUUGCUAAGUUGCUAAGGCUGGUCUUGAACUUGUGAUCCUCCUGUCUCAGCCUCCCGGGUCACUGGGAUUACAUGUGUGUGCCACCAUGACCAGCUCUUUUUCUUUUUUGUAGUGGAUUAUAACCAAACCAAGUAAAACUUUUGUGUGUAUUUUUGUUUAUUUUUUGGUGGUUGUUUCUGUAUGUGGUUAUGGUUUGAGCAAACAGAUUACUUUUAUUAGUAUCCCAAAUCUAGAGAUCUAUAAAAAUGAAUUUGAAUGAGGUGACAAUUGAAAAACAGAACCCAGUCUGAAGGAGAGAGUCUAAUUCUCGCACUUAGAAUCUGGUAUAGAGUCAAAAA